GGGGCUGACCGGUUUCGACGUUGGGACCGCUGGCUCGUCGUGCGACCCGAGUUGCUCAGACUCGUUAAACGGGGCACAAAAACAGGUGCCAAUAACACGGAACCUGCCUUCGCAAUGGCAGCCUAAAAACUCCUGAGCAAGGCAAAUUGCGACCCGAGAGGGCACGCCGAGGACGACCCUUUGCCUUGGGAACAGAAUGAGGGUUGACAGCCGGCAAAGACCGCUGACAUGUCGGGAAAGACCGACUGGCCUCACGGAAAGACGUGACGAGCAGUUCGUGACCCGGCACGAGGGCAGCGUUAAGCCCGAAUCACGGGAACGGUCGUAGCACGGAGGGUCCGCACUCAUCGGACGAGGGUUCGAUUCCCUCCAGCUCCACAA
rnacentral:tmRNA from 1 species